AGUGGGGUAUUCUAAAAUUUUAAGAGGUUGGAUUGUAGCUCCGAAGAUGAAUAAUAUAUCCCCCACAA
rnacentral:tRNA from 1 species